CAUGUAGGGCGCGAGCGUUGUCCGGAAUUAUUGGGCGUAAAGAGCUCGUAGGCGGCCUGUUGCGUCCGCUGUGAAAGCCCGGGGCUUAACCCCGGGUCGGCAGUGGAUACGGGCAGGCUAGAGGUAGGUAGGGGAGAAUGGAAUUCCCGGUGUAGCGGUGAAAUGCGCAGAUAUCGGGAGGAACACCGGUGGCGAAGGCGGUUCUCUGGGCCUUACCUGACGCUGAGGAGCGAAAGCGUGGGGAGCGAACAGG
rnacentral:rRNA from 1 species